rnacentral:rRNA from 1 species
AGUGAACGCUGGCGGUAGGCCUAACACAUGCAAGUCGAACGGCAGCACAGUAAGAGCUUGCUCUUACGGGUGGCGAGUGGCGGACGGGUGAGGAAUACAUCGGAAUCUACUUUUUCGUGGGGGAUAACGUAGGGAAACUUACGCUAAUACCGCAUACGACCUACGGGUGAAAGCAGGGGAUCUUCGGACCUUGCGCGAUUGAAUGAGCCGAUGUCGGAUUAGCUAGUUGGCGGGGUAAAGGCCCACCAAGGCGACGAUCCGUAGCUGGUCUGAGAGGAUGAUCAGCCACACUGGAACUGAGACCCGGUCCAGACUCCUACGGGAGGCAGCAGUGGGGAAUAUUGGACAAUGGGCGCAAGCCUGAUCCAGCCAUACCGCGUGGGUGAAGAAGGCCUUCGGGUUGUAAAGCCCUUUUGUUUGGAAAGAAAAGCAGCAGGUUAAUACCCCGCUGUUCUGACGGUACCCAAAGAAUAAGCACCGGCUAACUUCGUG